rnacentral:rRNA from 1 species
UGGGGAAUAUUGGACAAUGGGCGAAAGCCUGAUCCAGCCAUGCCGCGUGUGUGAAGAAGGCCUUCGGUUUGUAAAGCACUUUAAGUUGGGAGGAAGGGCAGUAAGCGAAUACCUUGCUGUUUUGACGUUACCGACAGAAUAAGCACCGGCUAACUCUGUGCCAGCAGCCGCGGUAAUACAGAGGGUGCAAGCGUUAAUCGGAAUUACUGGGCGUAAAGCGCGCGUAGGUGGUUCGUUAAGUUGAAUGUGAAAGCCCCGGGCUCAACCUGGGAACGGCAUCCAAAACUGGCGAGCUAGAGUAGGGCAGAGGGUGGUGGAAUUUCCUGUGUAGCGGUGAAAUGCGUAGAUAUAGGAAGGAACACCAGUGGCGAAGGCGACCACCUGGGCUCAUACUGACACUGGGGUGCGAAAGCGUGGGGAGCAAACAGG